GGGUAUGACGGCCCCCGGGCUUUUGAAUUAAGAAGAAAGACCUUCUCACGCAGGCCAAGAAAACCCCCAUUUUCGAACCAGACAAAAGCUUUAGGAGAUUUUUGACGAACACGUUACCUGCACGCAUACAGUGGCUGCAAUAAAAAAAAACUUGACCUGCGGGGGGUAUGACGGUCCCCGGGCUUUUGAAUUAAGAAGAAAGACCUUCUCACGCAGGCCAAGAAAACCCCCGAACCCCUACCCCACCCUUACAUGGCGGCACCUGCGCCUGCGUGAGCCUAGGCCGAGCCUUGCAGCAUGCUUUGGUGUGGGAUAGACGAGGAGGUUUUUUUAACCCCAGCCUGAAAUUCGCUCCCAUAGGAGUCGAACCUAGGACCUGAGGAGUGCCACUCGAUUCCACUAACCAACUCAGCUAGGGAACCUUAGGCUUUAAAAAACUUGACCUGCGGGGGGUAUGACGGCCCCCGGGCUUUUGAAUUAAGAAGAAAGACCUUCUCACGCAGGCCAAGAAAACCUCCGAACCCCUACCCCACCCUUACAUGGCGGCACCUGCGCCUGCGUGAGCCUAGGCCGGGCCUUGCAGCAUGCUUUGGUGUGGGAUAGACGAGGAGGUUUUUUUAACCCCAGCCUGAAAUUCGCUCCCACGGGGAGUCGAACCCAGGACCUGAGGAGUGCCACUCGAUUCCACUAACCAACUCAGCUAGGGAACCUUAGGCACAGUGGCUGCAAUGAACACAUGAACCAAUGAAAAUUGCUAGCUUCUUCUCCCGACAGUGGAAGGUAGAGUACGCGGCGCAGCUCAAGCUCCCAAAGAGCUCGUCG
rnacentral:lncRNA from 1 species